UACAGAGGGAGCUAGCGUUGUUCGGAAUCACUGGGCGUAAAGCGCACGUAGGCGGAUUUGUCAGUCAGGGGUGAAAUCCCGGGGCUCAACCUCGGAACUGCCUUUGAUACAGCAAGUCUUGAGUUCGAGAGAGGUGGGUGGAAUUCCUAGUGUAGAGGUGAAAUUCGUAGAUAUUAGGAAGAACACCGGUGGCGAAGGCGGCCCACUGGCUCGAUACUGACGCUGAGGUGCGAAAGCGUGGGGAGCAAACAGG
rnacentral:rRNA from 1 species